rnacentral:rRNA from 1 species
CACAUGCAAGUCGAGGGGUAUAGUUCUUCGGAGCUAGAGACCGGCGCACGGGUGCGUAACGCGUAUGCAAUCUACCUUUUACAGGGGGAUAGCCCAGAGAAAUUUGGAUUAAUACCCCAUAGUAUAGUGAGUUGGCAUCAACCUACUAUUAAAGUCACAACGGUAAAAGAUGAGCAUGCGUCCCAUUAGCUAGUUGGUAAGGUAACGGCUUACCAAGGCAACGAUGGGUAGGGGUCCUGAGAGGGAGAUCCCCCACACUGGUACUGAGACACGGACCAGACUCCUACGGGAGGCAGCAGUGAGGAAUAUUGGACAAUGGGCGCAAGCCUGAUCCAGCCAUGCCGCGUGCAGGAUGACGGUCCUAUGGAUUGUAAACUGCUUUUGUACGAGAAGAAACACUCCUACGUGUAGGAGCUUGACGGUAUCGUAAGAAUAAGGAUCGGCUAACUCCGUGCCAGCAGCCGCGGUAAUACGGAGGAUCCAAGCGUUAUCCGGAAUCAUUGGGUUUAAAGGGUCCGUAGGCGGUCUUGUAAGUCAGUGGUGAAAGCCCAUCGCUCAACGGUGGAACGGCCAUUGAUACUGCAGGACUUGAAUUAUUAGGAAGUAACUAGAAUAUGUAGUGUAGCGGUGAAAUGCUUAGAGAUUACAUG